rnacentral:rRNA from 1 species
UACGUAGGUGGCAAGCGUUGUCCGGAAUUAUUGGGCGUAAAGCGCGCGCAGGCGGUCCUUUAAGUCUGAUGUGAAAGCCCACGGCUCAACCGUGGAAGGUCAUUGGAAACUGGAGGACUUGAGUACAGAAGAGGAAAGCGGAAUUCCACGUGUAGCGGUGAAAUGCGUAGAGAUGUGGAGGAACACCAGUGGCGAAGGCGGCUUUCUGGUCUGUAACUGACGCUGAGGAGCGAAAGCAUGGGUAGCGAACAGG